rnacentral:rRNA from 2 species
GAUGAACGCUGGCGGCGUGCCUAAUACAUGCAAGUCGAACGAGUUCUCGUUGAUGAUCGGUGCUUGCACCGAGAUUUAACAUGGAACGAGUGGCGGACGGGUGAGUAACACGUGGGUAACCUGCCCUUAAGUGGGGGAUAACAUUUGGAAACAGAUGCUAAUACCGCAUAGAUCCAAGAACCGCAUGGUUCUUGGCUGAAAGAUGGCGUAAGCUAUCGCUUUUGGAUGGACCCGCGGCGUAUUAGCUAGUUGGUGAGGUAAUGGCUCACCAAGGCGAUGAUACGUAGCCGAACUGAGAGGUUGAUCGGCCACAUUGGGACUGAGACACGGCCCAAACUCCUACGGGAGGCAGCAGUAGGGAAUCUUCCACAAUGGACGCAAGUCUGAUGGAGCAACGCCGCGUGAGUGAAGAAGGCUUUCGGGUCGUAAAACUCUGUUGUUGGAGAAGAAUGGUCGGCAGAGUAACUGUGUCGGCGUGACGGUAUCCAACCAGAAAGCCACGGCUAAUAC